GAUGAACGCUGGCGGCGUGCCUAAUACAUGCAAGUCGAGCGAACAGACGAGGAGCUUGCUCCUCUGACGUUAGCGGCGGACGGGUGAGUACACGUGGAUAACCCACCUAUAAGCACGGGGUAACUUCGGGAAACCGGAGCUAAUACCGGAUAAUAUAUUUAACCGCAUGGUUUCAUAGUGAAAGACGGGUUUGCCGUUCCUUAUUGAUUGAUCCGCGCCGCAUUAGCUAGUUGGUAAGGUAACGGCUUACCAAGGCAACGAUGCGUAGCCGACCUGAGAGGGUGAUCGGCCACACUGGAACUGAGACACGGUCCAGACUCCUACGGGAGGCAGCAGUAGGGAAUCUUCCGCAAUGGGCGAAAGCCUGACGGAGCAACGCCGCGUGAGUGAUGAAGGUCUUCGGAUCGUAAAACUCUGUUAUUAGGGAAGAACAAAUGUGUAAGUAACUAUGCACGUCUUGACGGUACCUAAUCAGAAAGCCACGGCUAACUACGUG
rnacentral:rRNA from 1 species